UGGGGAAUCUUGCACAAUGGGCGAAAGUCUGAUGCAGCAACGCCGCGUGGGGGAUGAAGCUUCUCGGAGUGUAAACCCCUUUCGACCUGGAAGAAUGCCCGCAAGGGUUUGACGGUACAGGUAUAAGAAGCCCCGGCUAACUACGUGCCAGCAGCCGCGGUAAUACGUAGGGGGCCAGCGUUGCUCGGAAUUACUGGGCGUAAAGGGUCCGUAGGCGGUGUGGUAAGUCGGGAGUGAAAUCUCUGGGCUUAACCCAGAGGCUGCUUCCGAAACUGCCGUGCUAGAGUGUGAGAGAGGCGAGUGGGAUUACGGGUGUAGCGGUGAAAUGCGUAGAUAUCCGUAGGAACAUCCGAGGCGAAGGCGGCUCGCUGGAUCACAACUGACGCUGAGGGACGAAAGCUAGGGGAGCAAACAGGAUUAGAUACCCUGGUAGUCCUAGCCCUAAACCAUCAGGACUUGGGGUUUGCCCUGUACGGGGCAAGUCCCGUAGCUAACGCGUUAAGUCCUGCGCCUGGGGAGUACGGUCGCAAGACUG
rnacentral:rRNA from 1 species